rnacentral:rRNA from 1 species
GACGAACGCUGGCGGCAUGCCUAAUACAUGCAAGUCGAACGGAGUUAUGCGAGAAGCUUGCUUUUCAAUUAGCUUAGUGGCGGACGGGUGAGUAACACGUAGGAACCUGCCUGUAAGCCGGGGAUAACUCACGGAAACGUGAGCUAAGACCGGAUAGUCAAGAGGAAGGCAUCUUCUUCUUGGGAAAACGACGGAGCAAUCUGUCGCUUACAGAUGGGCCUGCGGCGCAUUAGCUAGUUGGUGAGGUAACGGCUCACCAAGGCGACGAUGCGUAGCCGACCUGAGAGGGUGAACGGCCACACUGGGACUGAGACACGGCCCAGACUCCUACGGGAGGCAGCAGUAGGGAAUCUUCGGCAAUGGACGCAAGUCUGACCGAGCAAUGCCGCGUGAGUGAGGAAGGCCCUCGGGUCGUAAAGCUCUGUUACCAGGGAAGAACGCUUAGGAGAGUAACUGCUCUUAAGGUGACGGUACCUGAGAAGAAAACGCCCCAGGCUAACUACGUGCCAGCAGCCGCGGUAAUACGUAGGGGCAAGCG